AUACCUACGACGCUUAUGGUACUUACGAAGAACUCCAGCAUUUCACUGAAGCAAUGCGAAGAUUUGAUGUCGGUGUUAUGGAUAAACUUCCAACAGAUAACUUUAAACUUGUUUAUGAGACUAUUUUAAAGUUUCACGAUGAAGCCGAAGAGAAGGUGAGAAAGGAAGGGAGAUCCUAUGGAGUUUUCUACACUAAAAAUGAGUCUGUCAAGCUUUCAUAGGAAUGGAAGAAGCAGAUGAAAUUGCAUAUCAAUGGCUGAUCAAUACUGAUAACAAAGUUCAUAAAGCCCUCAACAUAAUUGCUCGUCUCUACGAUGAUUUAGCGACUAAUGAGGAUGAAGAAAAGAGAGGACUGGUUUGUGGAACCAGUUGUUACAUGAAACAAUAUGGUGUUACAAGAAAGGAAGCGGUCGAAGCUUACAGUGAAAUGAUUGAGGUUGCUUGGAAAGACAUGAACGAAGCUUGUCUGAAACCAAUGCCCGUCUCAAACAAAAUCGCGCUACGAGCUCUUAGUUUUGCACGUUCAAUGGACGUUUUUUACAAGGAAUGCGAUGGAUUUGGAAGCCCCGAAAAAUCCAUGAAAGAUCUCAUCGCCAAAUUGCUCAUUCAACCCAUUCCCCUCUAACAACACACGCCACGAAGAGGAGCUGCCAUUAGGUGGGUUGUAUGGGGAUGAAGUCACCGAGCCAUUAGUGGGAAUUCCAUAUAUUUUGUGUUUACUCUCAACUCUAAAUGAAUUAUUUUUAGUUUACAUUAAUUUACUAUGGGUGUUUUGUAAUCUUGUCGUCUUUGUUGGAUUUCUCCAAGUCUUUCUAUAUUUGUUAUCUUUUAGCAAAUAAAAAAUAAAAAAAUUCUACUAUUAA